UGCCAGCCGCCGCGGUAAUACGGAGGGUGCAAGCGUUAAUCGGAAUUACUGGGCGUAAAGCGCGCGUAGGCGGCUUGGUCAGUCGGAUGUGAAAGCCCCGGGCUUAACCUGGGAAUUGCAUUCGAUACUGUUGAGCUAGAGUAUGGUAGAGGGAAGUGGAAUUUCCGGUGUAGCGGUGAAAUGCGUAGAUAUCGGAAGGAACACCAGUGGCGAAGGCGACUUCCUGGGCCAAUACUGACGCUGAGGUGCGAAAGCGUGGGGAGCAAACAGGAUUAGAUA
rnacentral:rRNA from 1 species